rnacentral:rRNA from 1 species
GACGAACGCUGGCGGCGUGCUUAACACAUGCAAGUCGAACGGACAGGCCCUGCUUUUGUUGCGUUCUCGAGUGCCGAACGGGUGUGUAACACGUGAGUAACCUGCCCUUGUCUUUGUUAUAACUUCACGAAACUGGGGCUAAUAUCGCAUAUGAUAUCCUGCACCAUGGUGUUGGUUUGUAAGUUUCGGCGUUUGGGGCUGGACUCGCGGCUUAUCAGCUUGUUGGUCGGGUAGUUGCUUACCAAGGUUUUGACGGGUAGCCGGCCUGAGAGGGUGACCGGCGACAUGGGGAAUGAGGUACGGACCAGACGCGUACGGGAGGCAGCAGUGGAGAGUAUUGCACAAUGGGCGGAAGUCUGAUGCAGAAACGCCGCGUGCGGGAUGACGGCUUUCGGGUUGUAAACCGCUUUCGCCUGUGACGAAGCGUGAGUGACGGUAAUGGGUAAAGAAGCAACGGCUAACUACGUG